ACGCUGGCGGCACGCCUAACACAUGCAAGUCGAACGAAGUAGCAAUACUUAGUGGCAGACGGGUGAGUAACAUGUAGGUAUCUACCCUUUGGCCUGGAAUAACACGAGGAAACUUGUGCUAAUACCGGAUAAGUCUUUACGGAGAAAGCUUUAUGCACCAUUGGAUGAGCCUGCACUUGAUUAGUUUGUUGGUGGGGUAAUGGCCUACCAAGACUGUGAUCAAUAGCUGAUUUGAGAGGAUGAUCAGCCACAUUGGGACUGAGACACGGCCCAAACUCCUACGGGAGGCAGCAGUGGGGAAUCUUGCACAAUGGAGGAAACUCUGAUGCAGCGAUGCCGCGUGAGUGAAGAAGGCCCUUGGGUUGUAAAGCUCUUUCGUCGGGGAAGAAAAUGACUGUACCCGAAUAAGAAGGUCCGGCUAACUUCGUGCCAGCAGCCGCGGUAAUACGAAGGGACCUAGCGUAGUUCGGAAUUACUGGGCUUAAAGAGUUCGUAGGUGGUUGAAAAAGUUGGUGGUGAAAUCCCAGAGCUUAACUCUGGAACUGCCAUCAAAACUUUUCAGCUAGAGUAUGAUAGAGGAAAGUAGAAUUUCUAGUGUAGAGGUGAAAUUCGUAGAUAUUAGAAAGAAUACCAAUUGCGAAGGCAGCUUUCUGGAUCAUUACUGACACUGAGGAACGAAAGCAUGGGUAGCGAAGAGGAUUAGAUACCCUCGUAGUCCAUGCCGUAAACGAUGUGUGUUAGACGUUGGAAAUUUAUUUUCAGUGUCGCAGCAAAAGCGAUAAACACACCGCCUGGGGAGUACGACCG
rnacentral:rRNA from 1 species